AUUGGAAUUUUUGGGUAGUUGAGUUUGAAACCAAUUUGGACGUUUUGGAUUUCUUCUUCACUAAAUGCAAUGCCUUUAAUGGUCCAACCUCUCUCUCUCAAGCCUUUUAAAAAAUAAUAUUUUUCAUGUGUGAAAAAUGAAGCCAAAAAAGUUGUUAGAAAAAAUGUCAAAAGAAAAUCAUUAACUUUCAAAUUUCAGACGAUCGAAUCAUGAAUUACGAGGAACACAAAUAAAUCGUAAAGUAUUGGUUGACUUUAAGUUUAGAUAACAAGUUUGGUUGACCAACUAAUUUAGACAUGACGUUUAGUAUACUAACAGAAAACCUUUAAAGUGUUAAAUUCCCGUUAGUUAUCUAUGUUAUGGCUAAACGGCAUAAGUUUACUGUACACUAAACAACAUCGUUUUGUCAAUUGAAAAGAGACAAAAUCCCCAAAUCAAAACUCUAUUAGCUUUUAGUGAGAUUUCAAAAUAAGAUU
rnacentral:sRNA from 1 species